UGAACGCUGGCGGCGUGCCUAAUACAUGCAAGUCGAGCGAACGGACGCGAAGCUUGUUUCUCUGAUGUUAGCGGCGGACGGGUGAGUAACACGUGGAUAACCUACCUAUAAGACUGGGAUAACUUCGGGAAACCGGAGCUAAUACCGGAUGAUAUUUUGAACCGCAUGGUUCAAAAGUGAAAGACGGUCUUGCUGUCACUUAUAGAUGGAUCCGCGCUGCAUUAGCUAGUUGGUAAGGUAACGGCUUACCAAGGCAACGAUGCAUAGCCGACCUGAGAGGGUGAUCGGCCACACUGGAACUGAGACACGGUCCAGACUCCUACGGGAGGCAGCAGUAGGGAAUCUUCCGCAAUGGGCGAAAGCCUGGCGGAGCAACGCCGCGUGAGUGAUGAAGGUCUUCGGAUCGUAAAACUCUGUUAUUAGGGAAGAACAUAUGUGUAAGUAACUGUGCACAUCUUGACGGUACCUAAUCAGAAAGCCACGGCUAACUACGUG
rnacentral:rRNA from 1 species